AGUGAACGCUGGCGGUAGGCCUAACACAUGCAAGUCGAACGGCAGCACAGUAAGAGCUUGCUCUUACGGGUGGCGAGUGGCGGACGGGUGAGGAAUACAUCGGACUCUACUUUUUCGUGGGGGUUAACGUAGGGAAACUUACGCUAAUACCGCAUCCGACCUACGGUUGAAAGCAUGGGAUCUUCUGACCUUGCGCGAUUGAAUGCGCCGAUGUCGGAGUAGCUAGUUGGCGGGGUAAAGGCCCACCAAGGCGACGAUCCGUAGCUGGUCUGAGAGGAUGAUCAGCCACACUGGAACUGAGACACGGUCCAGACUCCUACGGGAGGCAGCAGUGGGGAAUAUUGGACAAUGGGCGCAAGCCUGAUCCAGCCAUACCGCGUGGGUGAAGAAGGCCUUCGGGUUGUAAAGCCCUUUUGUUGGGAAAGAAAAGCAGCAGGUUAAUACCCCGCUGUUCUGACGGUACCCAAAGAAUAAGCACCGGCUAACUUCGUG
rnacentral:rRNA from 1 species